AUGAGAGCUUGUGACCGUAUCAAUGCACCGAAGGAGGUUCAAUACAGCGCUGAUUCAUCCCAGCGAAGCUCUAUUGCAAUGCAGCACGGGCAGUGCAACCAGCAGCUUAGGCAACAUCGUUUGAGUUGCAGCACCGCCCGGGCUCUGAGGGCCUCCAGCGAUGCUCCAUUGCAACCGGCAGAGCCCCCCUGGUUAGCAUGUGCUGCUUGCCAGAGGCAAACACACCCCUUGCCGUUCGACUCCAGAACCGGCUACUCUACCGUGCCUCUGGGCACGGCAGAGUGCCGUGCUUAUUACGCACCACCAGCGUGCACAUUGAUAUGGGCCAGAAAGCGAAGUGCAGCGCUGCACGCAGCGCAUCCACGGCUGGUACUGCGUCGCGAUUUGGACCAGCUGCAAGUGCUACUUGGCGUAUAA
rnacentral:rRNA from 1 species